rnacentral:lncRNA from 1 species
AACUUAGGUGGUUGAUUUGAAACUGUGAAGGUGUGAUUUUUUCAGGAGCUGGAAGUCUUAGAAAAGCCUUGUAAAUGCCUAUAUUGUGGGCUUUUAACGUAUUUAAGGGACCACUUAAGACGAGAUUAGAUGGGCUCUUCUGGAUUUGUUCCUCAUUUGUCACAGGUGUCUUGUGAUUGAAAAUCAUGAGCGAAGUGAAAUUGCAUUGAAUUUCAAGGGAAUUUAGUAUGUAAAUCGUGCCUUAGAAACACAUCUGUUGUCUUUUCUGUGUUUGGUCGAUAUUAAUAAUGGCAAAAUUUUUGCCUAUCUAGUAUCUUCAAAUUGUAGUCUUUGUAACAACCAAAUAACCUUUUGUGGUCACUGUAAAAUUAAUAUUUGGUAGACAGAAUCCAUGUACCUUUGCUAAGGUUAGAAUGAAUAAUUUAUUGUAUUUUUAAUUUGAAUGUUUGUGCUUUUUAAAUGAGCCAAGACUAGAGGGGAAACUAUCACCUAAAAUCAGUUUGGAAAACAAGACCUAAAAAGGGAAGGGGAUGGGGAUUGUGGGGAGAGAGUGGGCGAGGUGCCUUUACUACAUGUGUGAUCUGAAAACCCUGCUUGGUUCUGAGCUGCGUCUAUUGAAUUGGUAAAGUAAUACCAAUGGCUUUUUAUCAUUUCCUUCUUCCCUUUAAGUUUCACUUGAAAUUUUAAAAAUCAUGGUUAUUUUUAUCGUUGGGAUCUUUCUGUCUUCUGGGUUCCAUUUUUUAAAUGUUUAAAAAUAUGUUGACAUGGUAGUUCAGUUCUUAACCAAUGACUUGGGGAUGAUGCAAACAAUUACUGUCGUUGGGAUUUAGAGUGUAUUAGUCACGCAUGUAUGGGGAAGUAGUCUCGGGUAUGCUGUUGUGAAAUUGAAACUGUAAAAGUAGAUGGUUGAAAGUACUGGUAUGUUGCUCUGUAUGGUAAGAACUAAUUCUGUUACGUCAUGUACAUAAUUACUAAUCACUUUUCUUCCCCUUUACAGCACAAAUAAAGUUUGAGUUCUAAACU